rnacentral:lncRNA from 1 species
CUGAUUUCACGUCCUCAUGUAGUGCAGUGGAAAUGAAUAUUUAAAGGUAUGGAGUCACAAAACUGAGGGACACAAGGAAGACAUCAGCAUUCGAGGCCUGGCUGCCCCACGCUGCUCGGCAAGGAAAUCAAAGACAACUAGAAAGCUGUUUUCACAACAUCUGAGUCCUCUUCAGACGUCACUGCGCCAGAGACAGUACAACGGCAUCAUCCUUCCUGGCUCACGGCAUGAAGGGGUUAAGAGGCAGACCGCGCUCAGACGCCCACCACCCCACACUCGCAGCUCCCAGGCUGGGAGCCUCCCCACCCUUCCCCACUCUUCCCAGAGAGCAGGGCUCCUUCUCCACAGAUGCUGGCAG